GACAUCUGCACACUCAAAUAAUACCAACAUGUAAAUAAACAGCAAUUGCAUGAGCCUUGUGCAAACACAUUUUUUCCGACCAUAGGAAAACCAUAUUUAAACCUACAAUAUAUUUUUCAUUGGAUAAAAAAAAAAGAAAUUAUGAUAAAAAGUUGUUUUGUCUACAAAUCUAAUAAUUUAUUUCUGAUUAGCCUCUAAUGACUGACCUUGACCACAUCUUCAUCUGUGGAAUGACAGUCCACUGCCUCUGAGACGUCAGUGACCAUGCCGUCCGCUCCGAUGGUCACCACCUUAACUGGGACAGCCACAGUCUUCCCUGUCAGCACUGCCGUAUUCAGGAUCUCCGUGUCCUGAGAGAAAGAGAGAGAGGACCAGCAACAGUCAUACACAGGGUGAACCCAGGUCUCCUACUUGUCAAAACACUGCCUGGGAUACUCAGCCAUUCUUCAGGACUAAACUGUUUUACACAAUCCAAGAAAGUAUGUCAAUUAAAACAAAAACAUUGAUACAUGCAAUGUUACCCACAGCCUGGCCAGUCCUAAACACAACCAAUCAAGACCUGGAUCACAGACUACUGCCAACUGUCAAUCAUAUUGUCUAUCACAACUGUAUUGUGAUUCAAUUCAUCUGAACAAACUUCCAUGCAAUGUAUCAUGAUCUGAA